GGAGUUUAAGCUCUAGCUUCAGCCUGAUGUUUUUAACCAACUAGGCCCGCCAACCCACAAGCAGAUAGAAAAUAAGCUGAUUCUAUAGGACAGAAAAAGGAAGAGGGCAGGGGUCAUAAGGGGAUGUAAGCAUAAGAUACCCAAGCCAGAAACAGCAACCCUUCCAGGUCCCCUUCCCCCACGUGGAAGCUUUCCUUUCACUUUCGCUUUAAUAAAUCUUGCCGCAGCACACUCUCUAAUCGAGCUGUAACACUCGCCACUGCCGUCCACGGCUUCAUUCCUUGAAGCCGUGAGACCACGAACCCUUCGAUUGAGAAGAACCUUCGGUCGGAAGAAGACUUCUCGUCUCAGUAACAAUAACAAGAAAAACAGCCUAGACUAGACGCACAUCAGGAAGACAGGUACCCAGCAUAACCCCAUUGAAGAGCUGUUCCCUGGGACCUGGAGAGGAACACAGCAGGCUGCCAUGCCCACUGCACCUGCAGUGUCGGCCACAGCCGCAGAAUAAACAUGUGGAGAAGGUCAUUGAUCACCUUGACUGAAGCACUGCAGACAAGAUAAAGACAGCCUGAUGCAGAGGAAGAUUGAGGACUAAGGGGCUUCAUCCACAGUUAAUCCCGUCAUGUAUUGACCCGGAAACAUCAUCUCAUUUGCCUAUAAGACAGAGAGAGAGAAUGAUAGAAAUGCUGGAAGAACGAGCCUUGGGGCGGUAUCGCCCAGAUCUGAAUCCACACAGCAGCUGCUUCGGUCCCUGUAACUCAAGGCUUCCUCUUAAUCCUCUGUCCUCCAUCAACACCUGGCUGAGCAGGAACAACUAUGACCUAGGACCAGGGCCUUCAGGAAUCUUCACCCCUAACUUGAACUUCAUAACACUGGAGAGAGAGACUGUGGAAUGGAAUGACUCUCCAGAGCUGCAGAUUGAAGGCAUAUUUUCAUCUGACUUUGAUCUCAAUGGCGGGAACACCUUCAUGGCCCCUUUAUAGCUGGAUGAUCAUUUCCUGUUCUCUCCACCAUGGCCACCUGGUCCAAGCCACCAUCUUCAUGCACCUGGAUACCUGCCAUAACCUCAGCUGACCUUUCCUGUGUCCAUUCUUGUUCCUUUGGGCCCAGUCUCCUCGCUCAUAGCAGCAGAAUGAGUCUAUUAAAAAGUGAAACAAUUUCUGUCACUUCCUGGCUCAAAAGUCUCCAAUAGUUUCCCCAUGGAUUGGAAUAAAAUGUAGGUUCUAACCAUGGGGUACCAUGUAAGUUUAGGUUCACCUGUAAGUCACAGGAAAAAAAAAUAUAUAUAUAUAUAUGUAUAUAUCACACACACAC
rnacentral:lncRNA from 10 species